UUAUGUCAAGGAAAAGUGCAAGUACCAUGGUUUUUUGUUAAUAUUGUGGCGGAUAUUAAAUUCUUGGUUCAGCAGAUGCGUUCUUUUGUUUUUGUACAUCGAUAUAGGGAGAGUAAUGAUGUUGCUGAUCUGUUAGCUAAGAAAGCAGCAAAUGAAUGUUUAUGUGGUCCAUGGUUUGAUACUCCUCCUCCUUUUUUGGUUUCUGUCCUGAUGGAGGAUGCUAGGGGAAGGGCUUUUCCCCGUUUCAUCGAGUGAUACUCCUCCUCCUUUUUUGUUGAAUACAUCUUCUUACCAAAAAAAUAAAAAUAAAUUAACAAGCCAGUUUCAUCGAGUUUCCUGCAAUUUUUGAUCUUCUUCGACGCCCUAAUUUUCGAUGUUCGUUAACAGAUAAUCAGAAUUCACGGAUAACGUAAUCAUCAAUUAAACCUUUGGAGUUGUUGAUUCUCACUGGGUUGUAAUAAGGUUUGUAAUAUUAUUGCAAUUAGGGUAUUAGCUUUUAGGAAAAAUCAUUGUUUUCUCUAUGGGAUUUUCUGGGUUUACCAAAUUUUAGGGUUUUUACGUUUUCGUCUUAGUCAUCAACUGUUGCUGGAGUUGAUGUCAAUCCUCCUCCACCAUCUGCAACAACAACCAUCUCCGAUUUGAUUCCUGCCAAAGUAACAACAGGAAAUGGCAAUUCAAUGAUGAAGGAGCUUUAAUUGAGGUAUUCCGUGCACCUGUUCAGAUAUAGGAUUAGAACUUCUCAUCUGUAAUUCUUAUAUGUUGGCGUUCUUGAGUUCCUCUUAUUAGUUUUUUUCUCCUUGACGGGUAUCAGAAGCUCCAACAACCCUCUAUGUAUCAGUAGUGAAUAUCUUAAAAACAAGACUAUGAUAGAAGUUUCAAUAAACCUCUAUGGUUACUUCCCUUAUUGUAUGGUCAUUUAUGUUAUUUCACAAUCAUACUUUUCAGUAUAUGUUUCGUUUAACAUGCUUUAAAUUUCUUUUGGUUGCCCCUUUAAUUAAUCAUAUUCUGCUGUCCAUCGUUACUAUUUUAGGAACUGAAUAUGUGUGUGAUUUAAACAUCUCAGUGGGGUAAUUUUCAAUCUCAGUACAUUUAUUUUGUCAAUUUACCUGGGUUGGUAUGUAUCUUUCUCAAGCUUAUGUCGUAUUUCUUGGACGGAUAUCAGUGUGUUUUUUAUUCGUCUACAUUAGUCGAUAAAUAAGUUAUUGUUGCUGGCACACUAACUUUCAGGCGUUUGAUUUUAUUAGAUAUCUAUCAAUGUCUAUCAUUUCCAUAUACUCAUUCACAAUGAGAAAGGACGGAUUGACACCUGUAAGUGGAAUCCUAUGAAGAACUAUCACUACUAAUUGAAUUGGAUUUGUCUUAAUAUGUCUAAUUUUCACUUCGGCGGUGGUAAGAGUAAUUAGGUAUAUGACUACUAACCCAAUUUCAGUUAGACCAUAUCAGCAUCACCAACUGUAUAGUUUUUGAGAGUUCCACUCAACCUCAAAGUGCAAGAGGUAUGUCGAUUUGAAUUACUACUUUUGUCCUGUUACUCUAAUAUUGUAUGCCUCAACUGCCUUAUUGUCCAGAAAAUAAACUGACUACCCAUCUGUGGACAAGAUCAUUGGGGACAAGAGGUAUGUUGAUUUGAAUUACUACUUUUGUCCAUGUUACUCUAAUAUUGUAUGCCUCAACUGCCUUAUUGUCCAGAAAAUAAACUGACUACCCAUCUGUGGAUAGGAUCAUUGGGGAUCUUGAAGCUCCACUUUAGAUAAACCUCAAAUAUAAUCAAGAUAUUUUGUUUAACUGGAAAAAUGACCUUAGUUUUACACUUUUGCUCAUUUGAGUUUUAUAACUUUUCAGGCACAUGAUUUUUCACUCAUUUUUUGUAUUUAUCCUAUAUGUUGCUCUUAUAGCAAUAAUACAUACUCAGACCCCUUCCCGCAUAAGUAGCCUUAGAUUUUUAAAGUUGAUGUUUCAGAGGUUCUGUGAUGGAUCCCUUGAAAGCAUCUACGACUUUGAAAUACUUAUCAAGUAGAGGAAAAACAUGAUACCUUACGGUUAGUGAAACAAACUUUAUUGAGGUACUGCAUAUUCUUAGUUAAUAUAUCUCUGUAACGGUAAUCGUAUUGAUAACCAAAUUGUUUUCCGAAAUAUGAUUUUAUAACUAGCAUAUUAGACUGCAUGUUUAACAAGGUGGUAAUGUUAUCAGAGGGAUGCCCUGUCUACUAUGGACCUGCAUCAACUUCCUUGGAUUAUCUCUUUAAUUGGAUUUCAACUUCUGUCAUUGUCAACCCAGCUAACCUUUUACUCGAUCUCCCAAAUGGUACAUAGUCUUUUCUCACCUUUGCAAUUGUCUCAUGUCUGCUCAUGAAAAGAACAUACCUACAAGGAUGAAGGCUGAGCUACGUGGUGUUGUCAACAUCAACCAUCAAUAACUCUUGAUAUUUGUCUACUCGCUACUGUUGAUACACUCAACUGGAACACGGUGAAGUCAGAGACUCGGAAGAGUGGGGACUAAUGGUGGAGACGAUUCAUAGUUCUGUAUAUGGGAGGGAUCAAGGAGCAUAUACACAAAGCUUUGAACAGAUGUUUUGUGUAUUUAGUUAUGUAUGUGCCCCAAAAGUGAGAUUUUAGGCCGAUGCAGAUGAAUUGAAGUGGUUCCAACACCACAACUGAUUUUCUUUUAAUUCAACUGGGUUGUGCCCCUAAUUGGCAUGAAGAUAAGGUUCUUCUGAAUAUCAUGACAGACUUCUUAACCAUAUCACUUAAGUAUGGUCCCGUAUCACUUAAGUAUUGUCAGGAUGUUGGAGUUUUGUACCUAAGCAAGCAGGUUAGUUCCGUACGCUAAUUGUUUAUUCACUAAACUGUAUAUGGUAUAUGUUGCAGAAUAUUUUGCUGAUUUUGCUCAAAUUGGAAAAUGUUUGUAAUUCUUUAAAGGUGUGGUAAAAGUUGUUGACUUAGGUGGAUAAACUACAGGCCUGAUUUAAGUAGAGGCAUAUUCUCAAAACAGGCAUAAAAUUAUCAUUUUGUUUUGGGAAACGGGUAAAUGUUAAUCUGAGUCGAAAAGUAGUUGUACUCAGUUUCAUUGUAUGUUUUCCCAACAUGUCAUUACGUUUGGUAGGGUAUAUUAAAUGUUCUAGGAUACGUUAUUUCGGGAUAUCAUAAUUCUCAUUUUCUAUAGUGAAUUUAGAAGUACUUAUGAACUUCCAUGCCAUAAGUCCUGAAAAUGGGAGACUGGACAUUUUUUUAAUAACUUCUGCAGCUGGUGGGAAUUAGGAAAUCGGUCCAUUCUGGGAAUUUAUUCUGAACUUUACGAAAAAUUAAGAAAAUUGUUUAGGUGUUAAGAGGGUUUGUAGAUUGAACAUUCUAAAUUUGGCCACGAUUGCAGUCAUAUACAAAUAUAAUGGUUUAGGUUUGUCAUAUUGAGCUAACUCUACACUGUUAAUCUAUUUUGGGUGAACCCUUUUUAAAUUGUUGUGUUAUUUACUGUGCAAGAUUUUAGAUCAAAUGAACCAUCAUAACCGGUUGCCUAGCAUGUCAAUUAGGGAUAUACGAUGUACAGGGUUCAGGGUCCUAGAGUAUAAAAAUUCGAAAUUUUUUGAGUCUUUGAUAGCACAACACUUCACGGAUGGCGUUAUAUUUAUCUCUGGAGAAAAGUUUUUGAUAUUGCUGUUAGAGGAGAUCUAAUGGGAAUUGAUGAUCAGGAGUUUGCUAACAUGGUUAAUAAUGGAAAAGUCGGUAAGGACUCUCAAUCGCAAUUUUGUUUAUUGUUUGAGUUAUCAUCUUGGACAUCCUCCACCUGACUGCUAAGUGUUAAUACUCAAUUCCCUCCUCAUGGGAGAUAGAUGAAUCUUUUUAGUGGACUCUAUCGGAUUCAGUUCCUUUUUGGUUUAUCUCAAUCUACUUUCUUGACUUACCUAAUCAUGUUGUUCAGACAUUGUUGCCAUAUAGUUUCUAGAAAAAAUAAGUUCGUAGUCUUGAAAAUAUGUUUAUUUAGUAGCAUUUCAGUUACCACUAAAAGGAUUAAUUACCUGGAUAUAUUGUGUCAUCUCCAGGUUAUUUGGUCGAUACUUAAGUAUGGUACAAAGUUCAUAUACGUCUUCCAUCAUAUAUUUGGAGUACACUGAAUUUGUAUCAUCAUUCUUUUCUUCCUGCUUGCAUUUUUUUCUGGGAAAUUUGGUUUCAUUGUAAACAAUUGCAACAAAACUAAUUUCCAGUUCAGCCAAUAAUGCCAAGAAUUUAUUCCCUUUAAAUCUUAUCUAUUUCGUCUCUCUCUGUUCAUUUAGUUUCAAUUUUAAAGUUUUGAGUAAUUUUAUUUUUUGUGCAUCAGUACUUGGAAGUUUCUUGAAACGUACCAUCUACACAAGAUCUACUUCUUCUUGCUUUCCUAUUAGUUCUUACAUUAUUCAUCUGUGAAAUGAAAACUUGAUGGGUUCACACUUGGCUCCAGUUGUAGCUUUCAUCUCGAUGCAAAUUGCCUAGAGAUGUCUUUAAGUGCCUAGAUUCUUAAGUUCACGUUUUCUAAGAAUUAUAUCUAGAUUUUGUUUGGGAGUUUGCGUCACUCAAAGGUUUUAGAUUGUGCCUUUUGUAGAGUGUUAGGGCUCUAAAUUUUAUUAAAACUUUGUCUUUUUUUAGCAGACAUAUAAAGAUCAAAGUAUCUAUCACUGGCUUCUCAGGUACUGAGAUGAUAAGGUUAAGAUGUUUCCGGCAACUUAAAUGGAAAACACUUGCUCCAAGUUUUCUUUUACUGAUUUUGAUGACAUGCAAGCAAUUGACACCCUCAACAAUGCUUAUCUUACUAUAGCGGGAUUCUAUCACGACGAGAUCAAGAUCUUCUGGAAGUUUCUUUACAAGGGAAUUCUUGGAGUUUCUUUACGGGGGAAACUUGGUUAGAGAAGAGUUUGAGAAGCCUCAACGGUUAGCUGAGAAAGAAAAAAACCCAGAAACAGAUCGAGAGAAGAAAAAAGAGAGGUAGUUGGAUCGAUAGAGCAAGAUUUACAGCGAGAGAAGUAGAUAUAGAUGGAUAUAGAAGAGUCAGACUAGAGAGUUUGGUGACUUGGUCGGGUUUGAGAAAGAGUUUCAGGAAGAUUAGGUUUUCAAUCAGAGAAGAUUAGGUUUUCAAUCAGAAAACAAGUAAGUAAUCCAAACCCUUUCUUUAUUUUUGUUAAAAUAGACUGAUGCAUGAUGUUUUUAUUGAUUAUAAUCGAAGUUGAGAUGAUUGAUGUUCUUAAAUUUAGGGUUUAUGUAAUUAGGAUUUAUCUGAAAUUGGGAAUUGUUGAAUACCAAUUUUUGAAAUUGUAUGAUAGUAUGAUACCAAUUUAGUCCAAGAUGCUUAAUAUAUGAUAGUAUGAUACCAAUUUUUGUUUCUGAUUGUGUUUAGAAAAAUCAUUGUACUGUAUGCUAUGAGUCUAUGACCAUCUUAACAGGAUGACUGAGCAAACAACCACUACUUGGGGGCAAUUUGAUAUGGAUGCUUCUGUUUGACCAUGUGAUUCGUGUUCUCAUGUCUGAAGCUCAUCCUCGUAUUUCAUUUUUCCUAUUUCUUGCUUUAGCUAAUUGUGUACUUAGUGUCUUCCGUAUUGCGAGCUGUUUAUGUGUGACAAGAGGAAAAAGGAUAUUUCUCAAUUGAGGAAAAAGUUCUAUGAUGAACUUGUUUGCGCUGUGUUUGCUGGUAGUGUGUACAGCACUUCAUAUCAACCAUCGGCAUGUUCAUAUUUGAGCAAUAUUUCUUGUGGUGUGUUGGCUUGGUAGUUUUUAUUUCGUCUCUAGCUUAGUAGCUUCGCACUUUCAUCUUGAUUCAUGUGUUACAUUGGUGGUAAGUUAUCUUUCAGGUUCUGAUCACUUUGUUGUGUUACAGCAAAUUCUGUUUAAUGCCUUAAGAUAAAAAAAUAUCUUUCUUAGCUAAUCGUCGCUUCGAUGCAUAUAUUUUUCCAUUUGUAGUGACUGAAAAGUUGUUAGAUGGGUAGGCAGUUAAAAUCUAGCACACUGUGAGCUGCUAUUUAGUUUUCCUCUUACCACAGUUGGGUUUCUUUCCUGUUGGUGUGUGUGCCUAAGCUUAAUUUCUCCCUCUGUUUCCUCUUCUUGCCUUUUUAAUCAGUCUUUUGUCUAAGCAUAAUCAAAAGAGAGAUUACUUCCUUGAUAUAUAUUCUUUUCACUGGCCUUAUCAUUGAUCUAUUCUGACAGUAACGUGGCUUUGUUUAAAUUAGUUGUUAUUGCUGGUGUUAACAUUAGAAGUAACAAUAUGCUGCUUACUUCAAGCAUGUUCGUUGAGACCUGUGGCACAAUUUUGGCUUUCGUACCACUUGCUGCUUAAACCGAUGAAUUCAUUGCGACUGUAUUUUUUUCUUCAUUUCUCAAUCUUAACUUAGGAUGAUA